UAAGUAGCUGGGACCACAGGAUGUGCCACCAUACCCAGAACUAUAAGAGACUUCUAAAUGCUUAGAGAACCUGUGUUAUUAAUAUACAAAAGCAUGACUCUGAAAACAGGCAAUUCUGGCACUGAAGAGCAUCAGAUUUAAACUCCAUCUUAUGGAGUUUCGCUGUUGUUGCUCACGUUGGAGUGCAG